rnacentral:rRNA from 1 species
GACGAACGCUGGCGGCGUGCUUAACACAUGCAAGUCGAGCGAUGAAGCUCCUUCGGGAGUGGAUUAGCGGCGGACGGGUGAGUAACACGUGGGCAACCUGCCUUAUAGAGAGGAAUAGCCAUCCGAAAGGAUGAUUAAUACCUCAUAAUAUUGUAGCUUCGCAUGAAGCAACAAUCAAAGGAGUAAUCCACUAUAAGAUGGGCCCGCGGGGCAUUAGCUAGUUGGUGAGGUAACGGCUCACCAAGGCGACGAUGCGUAGCCGACCUGAGAGGGUGAUCGGCCACAUUGGGACUGAGACACGGCCCAGACUCCUACGGGAGGCAGCAGUGGGGAAUAUUGCAUAAUGGGGGAAACCCUGAUGCAGCAACGCCGCGUGAGUGAUGACGGCCUUCGGGUUGUGAAGCUCUGUCUUCAGGGACGAUAAUGACGGUACCUGAGGAGGAAGCCACGGCUAACUACGUGCCAGCAGCCGCGGUAAAAC